rnacentral:lncRNA from 1 species
AACACUGCAAAUAACUCCACACAGAAGAGGAAGCUGACACUUAAACUUGCUCAAGUGACAUUGCUUAAGGUAAUUUAUCAUAAGGAAAUAAAGUGAUAGAAACCAAAAUGCUAUAUGGAAGUAUUAGUCAUCAAAAUGAAAACAAUUUUAACAGUAAUUUGAUACAACGUGGUAUGUGGAUAUAAUACAGUCAUUUAAGUGAUUAAUAUGAUGUCUAUGUAUAGUAUACGUUUUUUUAAAAAGCACAAACUACUACUUUCAGCAUACCCACAUGAUUACAUUUGCACAAAAAUGGACAGGUACUGGGAGGUAACAGGUAAAAACCAAAAUACUUGGCUUUGAAUAGUAAGAU